CUGGGCGCAGAAGGGUCACUUGUGUAUGGUGUGGCGUGUCCGCAGUUGCGUAUGCAUGUGUGAUCCGGCGUUGCUACCGUCUCCUCGUGUCGGUCCCAGAACCGCUUUGGAUACGUCGCUAUGGGCCGUUUGCUCGCUAGUGUGUCGACAGUGCGCUGCCAGCCGCGCACUGGCCAGUGGGCACACUAGCACCGUACAGUAGCGGUUCGCAUCGGCCAGGUCGCUUCUUGCUCCCGUCCGUCAAACAGCGCGAGUCUGCUGCAAUACUCACCCGCGCCGUCCGGCUGCGUUCGUACUACACACGCACUGCGGCAAGAGUGCCCUAGCUCAGCGAUGACAAGCGGUCCUAGAGCUAGAGAAGCCAUCUGUUUUACUGCGCGUACGCAUAUGCCUCCGUCACUGGCCCGUCGUCUGCUGACGCGAGCACUCGUUCGAGAAGUGCUGCCAUGUUUGUCGUCUGCAAAGCCGUCGGUGAGACGCGCCUAUUCCACGGUUGCUGUUAGCGGUGCCCUGUCUAUGGUUUUUUAACACCUCUCGGUGUGCGAUGGGAGCUUACCGCCUUGCCUCCACGUGAACAGAAGUAACGCUCGCGGCUUUGUUUCGUUCGUAUUAAACUUGACAGGUGGGCUUCCUAAUGUACGAGUUUUAUGGCGUAGCGCGUAUACUGCGAUUCUUCCGCGAUCACUUCGUUGAAGCUCGUAGUUAACAGCUGUGCAUGACCUUGACUCAUUGAGCUUUUGCCCCUGCGUGUGAAUUGCUUCUGACAAUUAGAGAACCUGAGUGGGUUCUGUUGAGCUGCAUGUUGCAUUUAUACAUUGAUAGGUUGCUUGCUCAGGUGUUACUUGACUGGGCUCUUCGUGUUACAGCAGUGUUAUUGGUCCGAUUGUUUUGCAUGUCAGCUCACAUUAGUCGAGCAUAUUGUGGCUGUCUGAAUAGGCAAGCACAAAAAAUGUGCAUUGUUAUCUCUCACACAUGUCAAGGCAACAUAAUUUGAAUUUCUAAUUCUUAAGGGAUCUUAUUCUUUGUGUGCUGUUAAACAAUGGUGCUUGCAGCAUGUCACUAAAUUUUGUUUUGCACCCUAAGUGAUUUUGUAAGUAGUGUAGAGUUGUAAAAGCAAGUGCGCUUUGAAGAGAGAGAGCGCUGCAACUAGUGUGGUGCGAUUUAUAUUGUAUAUGGAUAAAGUUGCUUGUUAAAUUCGUUCAGCUAUGACAUCUAUUAUAGCAAACAGGUAUUGACAUUGAAUAUCCAUUGAUUUAUUAGAAAAUUUUCCUUGUGGUCUUGGAAUAUUGUUCCCUGGGAGCCUUCUGUAAACUAACAUUGGUAUGUUCUUGUGUUUUACUGUGUUAAGUAGAAACUGAGAAAAAAAAUUAUGGAAGGUGGGAUAGAAUGUCUAUUGCAUUGCAGGAAUGUGUAGUGCUUAUAGUUCUAGCACAUGUGAAGACUUGUGUACACUCUUUAGUAGUAAUUGCACAUGCCUUUAAGGUUUGUGUGUUGACCAGCUGCAUGGGGAUAACUGUUAAAUAAGGUCUCAGAAUAGGUCUGUUGCCUAUUGGCUAGGUCAGUAUUAUGGAUCUGCUUAUUGUAGUGACAGCAGUAGUGCAUACUAAGGACUGUUGAGUUGUACUUUUGUGACCAGUGUCUGGUUCCUGCAAGGCAGUCUUGGAGGAUGUGUUGGAAUCACACCUCUGUUGUUGAUAAAUGGCUGUUGACAAAUCGGUCUGCGUAAUUAUAGUCUUCACUUUUUUAAACCUUGUGCGAAAUUUUGGUAAUUGUGCAUGUUGACGUGUGCAUAAGAGUGGUGAUGCAAUGGAGAAACGCAUACGAGCAUGUAUGCUUUUCUUCAAUUUCACCUCAUUUCUUUCAGUGCUUACAUAUAUGGCAAAAAUGAAUAUACAAAUGCAUUGUUGUUAUUGCAUCUGCACUUGUGUGGUUUUUAUGCAGUUGAGCUUCGCGUUUAAAAAAUGUUGAGUUACUAAAUAAAGCGGGAGCUGUCUUGA